rnacentral:rRNA from 1 species
GACGAACGCUGGCGGCGUGCCUAAUACAUGCAAGUCGAACGCAGUGGGGACGGGUGAGUAACACGUGGGUAACCUCCCAUCAGAGGGGAUAACAAUUGGAAACAGGUGCUAAACCGAUACUGAUGGAUGGACCCGCGGUGCAUUAGCUAGUUGGUGAGGUAAAGGCUCACAAAGGGAACGAUGCAUAGACGACGUCGCGUGCUGUUCUGCCGACCUUGGACUGAGACACGGCCCGAACUCCUACGGUCGGCAGCUGUCGGGCUUCUUCGGUCCUGGACGAAAGUCUGACCGAGCAACGCCGCUUGAGUGAAUACGUUUUUCAGAUCGUAAAACUCUGUUGUUAGAGAAGCGGUAUCUAACCAGAAAGCCACGGCUAACUACGUGCCAGCAGCCGCGGUAAUUC